UACAUGGGGUGCAAACGUUGCUCGGAAUUAUUGGGCGUAAAGCGCACGUAGGCGGUCCGUUAAGUCGGAUGUGAAAGCCCCCGGCUCAACCGGGGAAGUGCAUCCGAAACUGGCGGGCUAGAGUACGAAAGAGGGUCGCGGAAUUCCCGGUGUAGAGGUGAAAUUCGUAGAUAUCGGGAGGAACACCGGUGGCGAAGGCGGCGACCUGGGUCGGUACUGACGCUGAGGUGCGAAAGCGUGGGGAGCAAACAGG
rnacentral:rRNA from 1 species